rnacentral:rRNA from 1 species
UACGGAGGGUGCGAGCGUUAUCCGGAUUCACUGGGUUUAAAGGGUGCGUAGGUGGGCAGGUAAGUCAGUGGUGAAAUCUCCGGGCUUAACCCGGAAACUGCCAUUGAUACUAUCAGUCUUGAAUACCGUGGAGGUAAGCGGAAUAUGCCAUGUAGCGGUGAAAUGCUUAGAUAUGACAUAGAACACCAAUUGCGAAGGCAGCUUACUACCCGAAUAUUGACACUGAGGCACGAAAGCGUGGGGAUCAAACAGG